CACAACACAUGGCACAAUAAAACUCCUGCUGGGCCCGCCAGCUGUCCACACGUGUUCGGAGUUUCUGUGGUGGUAACUGUUGGCAGUAUGCUUUUUAUAGCAGGAGUGUGAGUCGAGCAGAAAUCUCCUGGUUGCGGCUGCAGCAGUCUCUGUACAGUAGCUGAGAUGUCCCUGUCCCCAUGCACAAUCAUCAGUGUCUUCUUCUCCAACUCUAUCGCCAGACAAGAAUGUCUAUGUUAGACGAUUCUCCAAAAAUCUGCAUUUUGUCCAAUGUUUUUAAGUCUUGUUUUUUUACAAUAUCUGCACAUGGCAACUAUGGUGUAGUUUAGGUAAGGGAAAUGUAAUAAUAAGAUUGUAAUUAAAUCACUUCUCAUUGUUGAUAGUCUCAAAAGAUAGAAGGUGUUAACCCUCAUCUCAAUUCACUCCAGUGCAGGGACUCAGCAAUGCUUGUGUAAUAGUUAUAAGUGCUCUUCAGGUUUUCCUAUGUUAUAUUUUUUCUCUUAGUCGUCUUAUUAUUCUCUUGCCAUGCUACAUUACUAUGCUUUUGUGUUGCUCCCAUGGAGCACAUAUUCUAUUUUCCUUUUCUGUUGAUUAACACGUAGAACGAAGCACCUGGCUGGAAUGUGAACCAUUCGGUCGCCUUCCUUUGUUCAUCCUGGGUGUUUGCCCUUUGCACCAUUAGUUUAUUGCAAUAUCAUUCACAUUAUAAUUAAAGACCUUCACAAUUCUUAUGAGGAAGACAAGAGAAGGCGGAUGUCAUUCCUUCUUGUUCGGAAGCCAAAGGGUUGAUCUGCCAAAAUAUUCACUGCGUGUCGGGGACCCAAAAUGGUGCUGGUCCUCAAUGUGAUGUCUUUUCGAAAGUUUGGAAAGUUUCCAAAGUUAUCAAAAAAUAUCAGGCUGAAUGUAAGAUUCCUCCUAAACAUCAUAUAGAAUAUAAAUGACAGUGUAGAGUUAUAUGAUUUUGAUCUGAUUGAUUGCAAAUGUAUUUGCUAACUUGCAUUAAAAAUGCAUGAUACAAACUGAAAAGACAAGGGCCUUAACAAAGCAUCUGCAUUUUUACCUAUAUGUGCAGCCCGGUCUCAUUUCCAGGUCAUCAAAUACUAACAUGUUAUGUUAUGUUAGGCUUUCAACUAACUCCAAUAUAAACCCAAUGUUAGACCUCAGAGUAAGUUCUCCGGAGAUCAGGUGAGUCAAGUCACAGGUUAGGUCAAGUCGAGUCAAGUCCUAAGUUAAGGCCAGUCAAGUCCAAAGUCAAGUCACUUCCGCCAAUUAAUUGUAUUUGUAUUAUAAUUAUUGCUAUUCAGUGAAAUAAAUGAAAUUAAAAAAAGGAAAACAUUUUAAAAGCUAAUUUAUUGAUACAUUUCUUGUCAAUCCAAAAAACAUAUUUCCUCCCCAUUCAUUUUAAACAGUGAAAUACUGACAGCUAGACUACAACAUUAUCAAAUAAAAGACCAUAGACAUAGUCCAUAGUCUACCACGUAGCAUCGCAAGACGUUUAGUCAUCCAGUAAUACAAAAAUGUCGGUCCAAGUGUGCCCUUGCAUUUUUUAUAUUUAACUAUAAUUUAAACUGAAAACAUUAAAUGCACACAGACAAGUCAUUCAAGUCAUCAUGUCAAGUCACAAGUCUUUAACUUCCAAGUCCAAGUGGAGUCUCAAGUUAUUUAUUUUCUGUCACGUCAAGUUGCAAGUCAGACUUGAGUCAUUCCAAGUCACAAUGACUGGAGUCCAUAUCUCUGCUAUGCUGAGUUUAACAUCAGGUAAUAUUGGGAUGGAAACAUCAUCAAGACUUUUUUAACCACUCUGGGACCAAAAAUGUAGAGUACAGUGGAUUUAACAAGAGUAAUGAGAGAAGUGCAGGCAGGAAAACCAAAACAAGAGACUGAGAGACGAUAAAAUGCACCAUAGUUAAGUAAUCAAUCUCUGUUUGUAAAUACGAGCGAUCACUUUCACGUUUUAUCGAAGUAGCCAUUCGAUGAAUUGUUCAUAUAGAAACACUGAUUGUUGCAGCUUUAACAAAAUGGUAACAAUAGUUUUAAAGCUGAUCCAAGACUAAAGAUUUGUGAUAGCUUUGGCUUUAUUCAGGUUUGCA